rnacentral:rRNA from 1 species
UACGUAGGGGGCAAGCGUUGUCCGGAAUCAUUGGGCGUAAAGCGCGUGUAGGCGGCUUGGUAAGUCUGCUCUGAAAGCCCGGGGCUCAACCCCGGGAGGCGGGUGGAUACUGUCAAGCUCGAGUCCGGAAGAGGAGUGUGGAAUUCCUGGUGUAGCGGUGAAAUGCGCAGAUAUCGGGAGGAACACCGGUGGCGAAGGCGACUCACUGGACACGCAUUGACGCUGAGGUGCGAAAGCGUGGGGAGCAAACAGG